GGGACUGUGGCUCAGUGGUAGAGCGCUCACCUAGCACAUGCGAGGCCCUGGGUUCGAUCCCCAACAUCUCA
rnacentral:tRNA from 1 species